AGGACCUGGCUGCUGGGGAAGCUGAGGGGGUACCCAGGGAAGGGCAGAGGGAGCUGGGGCGCUCCAGCCUAGCAGAGCCCCAGGCUGCAGGCCGAGGUAAAGGCCCACACAAGGGUACUAAGGCUGCAGAGGGGCAGCCCAGGCCUAGACAGGGGCAGCUGGUCUGACCCUGCUUGCCGAUGAUGAGUGGUACGGACUGCGUCUGCCCCAGGGAGCGGGGGCUAGACGAUGACUGACCAUAGUCCCUGAGGCAAGGGAGGGAUAGGGGGUUGGGGGUCCACUGAGAGGGGAGACCCAGACUGAGCCCUAGGCUAGAAGGGCACCGGGGUCCAGGAGGGGCACGGGGCCAGCAGCAGGCGAGACACCGACCGGCAGAGGGUGCUCCUGGCUGAAAAGAGCUAAUUCCCUGGGCAACCAGCAGGCAGCGCCGCAGCGCCUCCAUUUCCUGAGCUUCUCCAUUUGCCUUAUUUUCACUGGCUGCCUUCCCGGGCCCAGCCACGUGAAUCGACUGGCCCCUGCCCGGGCUACUCACUCCUGGAGGAUUUUGCUGUCAGUCGUCUGGGGGAACCCGAAAUCCAUCAGCUCAUCCAGCAGCUCGUAGAUGACUACGAAGUUGUCUCGGAUGCUCUCCUCCUCCAGCUCCUUAAAGUACUCGGAGAAGACCUGGGAGAGGGGCAGGAGCACCAGCCACUUCAGACGCUGCUCGCUCGCCCGCCUUUUCCCAGGGGCCGAGGUGAAUAGCCUGGUGGACUCCCUGUUUAGGGGACUCCCCCCCUCUGCUCUGGCCUCCCCCACUCUGCCGGGCUCCCCCACAGCACCCACGCAGCCCCUGCCCCGCAUGGCCUGGCAGCCCCUCCAGAGCCCAGGUGAGCAGAGCCCAGAG